rnacentral:rRNA from 1 species
UACGUAGGCAGCGAGCGUUGUUCGGAGUUACUGGGCGUAAAGGGUGUGUAGGCGGUUGCUUAAGUUUGGUGUGAAAUCUCCCGGCUCAACUGGGGGGGUGCGCCGAAUACUGAGUGACUCGAGUGCGGGAGAGGAAAGUGGAAUUCCUGGUGUAGCGGUGAAAUGCGUAGAUAUCAGGAGGAACACCGGUGGUGUAGACGGCUUUCUGGACCGUAACUGACGCUGAGACACGAAAGCGUGGGUAGCAAACAGG